rnacentral:lncRNA from 1 species
GAUGCUCGCUCUUUUGCUAUGCCUAUGCUGCGAUACCUACCACUUCCUUAUCAUGCCUCCCAUAUUGUUGAACCAAGCCUCUAACCCACCUUGUCCUAGUAAACCGUUGAUUGGCUAUGUUACCGCUUUGCUCAGCCCCUCUUAUAGCGUUGUUAGUUGCAGGUGAAGAUUGAAGUUUGUUCCUUGUUGGAACAUGGAGAUGUUGUUCCUUGUUGGAACAUGUUUACUUGUUGCGAUAUCACUAUAUAUCUUAUUUAAUUAAUGCAUCUAUAUACUUGGUAAAGGGUGGAAGGCUCAGCCUUAUGCCUGGUGUUUUGUUCCACUCUUGCCGCCCUAGUUCCCGUCAUAUCGGUGUUAUGUUCCCGGAUUUUGCGUUCCUUACGCGGUUGGGCUAUAAUGGGAACCCCUUGACAGUUCGCCUUAAGUAAAGCUCUUCCAGCAAUGCCCAACUUUGGUUUUACCAUUCGCCACCUAGCCUUUUUUUCCUUGGGUUUCACGGACUCAAGAGUCAUCAUUAUUUUAACCCCCCCCCCCUCCACGGGCCAGUGCUCCUCUGAGUAUUGGUCCAACCUGUCAGCUGCCGGUGACCACCAGGGGCAACUCUGGGCUGGCCUACCCGUACCUAAGACAAUCUGAGUGUGCCCUGAGAAAGAGAUAUGUGGAGCUCCUAUCGGGAUUUGUCGGCACAUUCGGGCGGUGUUGCUGGUUUAGUUUUACCCUGUCGAAAUUUCUUGUUGUACCGGGAUACCGAGUCUAAUCGGAAUGUCUCGGGAGGAGGUCUAUUCCUUCGUUGACCGUGAGAGCUUGUGAUGGGCUAAGUUGGGACACCCCUGCAGGGAUUUGAACUUUCGAAAGCCGUGCCCGCGGUUAUGGGCAGAUGGGAAUUUGUUAAUGUCCGGUUGUAGAAAACUUAAAGUUGACCUUAAUUAAAAUACAUCAACCGCGUGUGUAACCAUGAUGGUCUCUUUCCGGCGGAGUCCGGGAAGUGAACACGGUUGUUGGAGUUAUGCUUGACGUAGGUUGCUAUAGGAUCACUUCUUGAUCAUACUUUUAUCGACUGUGCUUUGCCCUCUCUUCUCGCUCUCAUUUGCGUAUGUUAGCCACCAUAUAUGCUAGUCGCUUGCUGCAGCUCCACCUCAUACCUUUACCUUACCCAUAAGCUUAAAUAGUCUUGAUCGUGAGGGUGCGAGAUUGCUGAGUCCCCGUGGCUCACAGAUAUUUCCAAAACUAGCUUGCAGGUGCCGAUGAGUCUAUGCAGAUGACGCAACCAAGCUCUAGGAGGAGCUCGAUGAAGAUCUUGUCCUUUGUGUUGUUUCAUUCUAGUUGAUCAGUAGUGGAGCCCAGUUGGGGUCGAUCGGGGACCUUUGUCGCAUUUGGGGUUCUUCUUUUAUUUUGGUUCCGGAGUCGGACCUUGAUUGUUUUUGGUUGAUGUAAUGCUUUACUCAUGUAAUUGUGUGAAGUGGUGAUUGUAAGUCAACUAUGUAUCUCUUUUCCCUUAUUGUAUUACAUGGGUUGUUUGCGAAGAUUACCUCACUUGCGACAUUGCUUUCAAUGAGGUUAUGCCUCUAAGUCGUGCUUCGACACGUGGGAGAUAUAGCCGCAUCGAGGGCGUGACAUGCCACCUCCCGUUCGCCCGUGACCGCUGCCCUGCUCGUCUCGAUCCAGAGAGACCGAGCCGGCCUCCUUUACCCGCGUGGGCCCCAUCCAGCGCUGAGGCCCAGCAGCGCCCCGGCCUGCUUCCCCUCCAACUCAUGGGCCAAGCCCAUGGUGAGCCACCACUGCGCCUCCCCCUUAUACUAUUGGGCUAGUCAGAAUCGGCCCAUAAGUUUUUUUUCCUGCUGCUGUGAUUUUCACAAUUUUCCAGAGUUUACGGUUUUACAGAAACACCCUUGCACAUCUUUCAUAUCAUAACUCACCAACCGUGCAUCGGAUCUAAAUAAAUUAUAUAUGCAACUUGCUUUGAAUUUUGUGUGGAUUAAUAAUUUGCAACUUCCAUCUAUGUUUAAAAUGUUUAAAAUGAUGUUUGCUUAUAUUUUGCUUAAUUGCCAUGUUAAAAUGCUUUAUUUCAUAACUAAAUAACCGUUGCUCGGAUUUAAAUAAACUUUAUAUGUAAAUGGGGUAGAAAAAUGCCUAGUUUAACAUGGUGCACUCAUCUUUCAUGUUUAAUAACUCUAAAAUAUGGUUUAGGGCAGAACAGUACCAAACCUAAAAAUAUGCACAUGAGGAUUUUCCGGAAUUGUUGUUUGUUAUUUCCGGCCUCAUUUAAACUUGACUAGGUGGUUAGUUUAAUUAUUUUCACAUCUUUCCAUGCUAACCAACAUAUAAUUUUGUUGAGUACUUAAAUGGGAGAGAACUAAAUAAUUGUUGUGGUGUUUCGUCAAUAUGCAAGCUCCACUUAACUUGUAGUUUUGCUUGUGCACUUUUCCAUGCCAUGCCUCUUUAAACCGGACAUGCAUCAUACUUCAUUGUGCAUCAUGCCAUGAUUAUGUGAUGGUUGUUUACCAUGUUGUUUGCUUCUUUCCGGUGUUGCUUCUUCGGGUUAGUUCCGAUAAUGUCGCGUUUAUGAGGAUCCGUUCGACUACGUCCGUUUGUCUUCUUCAUGGACUUGUUCUUCUUCCUUGCGGGAUCUCAGGCAAGAUGACCAUACCCUCGAAAUCACUUCUAUCUUUGCUUGCUAGUUGCUCUCUCUAUUGCUAUGUCGCGCUACCUACCACUUGCUAUAUCAUGCCUCCCAUAUUGCCAUGUCAAGCCUCUAACCCACUUUCCUAGCAAACCGUUGUUUGGCUAUGUUACCGCUUUUGCACAUCCCCUCUUAUAGCGUUGCUAGUUGGAGGUGAAGAUGAAGUUUGUUCCAUGUUGGAGCAUGGAUAUUGUUGGGAUAUCAUUAUUAUAUCUUAUUUACUUUAAUGCACAUAUAUACUUGGUAAAGGGUGGAAGGCUCGGCCUUAUGCCUGGUGUUUU